rnacentral:tRNA from 2 species
GAAGUGUGGCCGAGUGGUUUAAGGCUCCAGUCUUGAAAACUGGCGUGGGGGGAACCCCACCGUGGGUUCGAAUCCCACCGCUUCC